UUCAAAAAUGUUUUUCCAAGUAGUUGCAAAUUUUUGUAACGCAAUAUUAAUAAUAAAAUCCAUUGUUUAAAAUGUAAAUGUAAUACACCUUCAAUUUAUAUUUAUUUGCAUAUAAAAAACGUCAUUUUCGGGUUACUGAAUAAUUCAACUUUUUGGACAGUCGACAUUUGAACUUUUUUUGGUAGUUUAAAAUGUUAACUUUAAUGUGUGAAAGUAUUUUUCUUUAAGCUAUUUAAAAACGUGCACUUCUCUGACUUUCAGUUGAGUAUAACAUUUUUGUAUAAUCUAAAAAAUAAACAAAAAUAAAUACUUUCUAGAAGAAAUACUUUUUAGAUGUUAAUGUAUAUGUGUAAAAGUUAAUAAUUUUUUAUACUUGUAAAAGUGAUUAAAAAUUAACAACAAAUGCGAAUGACUUGAUAAUAUCUAAUAAAAAAGAAUAACAAUGCAUAUUAAGUGUAAAGUUUAGGUAAUAUUCCUUAAGAUGUUAGAUUUAACUUAAGUAGGAAGAUGUAAGCAAUAAAGAAAUUAAGUUUAAGUUUGCUUACACACACACACACACACACGUUAUGCCUUAAGUUCUUAAUACCGUGCUCGGUUGAUCCGUGCACUGCUUAAGUUUUUACUGCUUAAGUUUUUCUAUAUACCACGGCCCUAAGAUGAAACACCGCGGAGGUCUGCUAUCACGUAGCAUCCCCAACUUCGAUACGCGAGACACGCCACGUGACGUAAAAAGGGAUUGUUUUUCACCCGUCGUCGCGCCGAUUAUGUCGCUCGCGCGCGGGAACGUGCGCCGAAAUGUAGUGGCCCUGGCAGUAUGCAUGCCUGAUCGGACGGAGAGGGGGCUUUUAAGCGAACGCGAGAUCGACAGCCGAAAGUGGUGCUCCAACGUGCCGGGCCCGCAUCGUCGCUCUCAUUUUCCUAUUGUUUCUGCGAGCGACGUCGAGCACGCGGCCGAAUAAUAAAUGCGAUCUUUCCCUCUUGCUCUCGCUCUCGCUCUCCGUCCGCGGUCAUGGAAAAUCCCAGUUUUGUGGACGUGGACAAUGGCGAUCGAAUGUACGGACCAAAAUGGAGUUUCUCCAUUAUACCUCUCUUUCCCACCCGCGCGCGUUGUCAAUUACGCUGUCGCGCCGCUGCCGCGUAGGUAGAUAAGGGAGAAAGAGAAAGAGUGGAAGAGAGGACCCGUCGUCUCUUCGGCCUCAAUAUUUUUUUUUCCCCUCUCGCUCUCUUAUUGUUCUGUCUCGAUUAUGCUCGAGAAAACCACUCGAUUAACGUCACACGGGCACGCGAUUAUGACACGGAGCGCGGAGCUUCAUUAACGUGUCGACGGCCUCUCCACAUCGCGGAUCGGGCUUCGAGUGUUUCGUUACGCCUGGGCAAUAAUAUGAGAUCGCUUUCAGGAAAUCAUCCGUUAGAAUCUUGUGGGGAUUCUGUGUUGACGCGUAGAGAGCUCGCGCGCUUCCAUUACGUCAACAAGACAGAGACGAACGAACAGAGCAACACAAAGAUCGGUAUUCAUAUAAUCAAAACUUGUAUUUAAGAUCAUCUUAAGUCAUGUCUUAAGAUAUCAUCGGCCAAUCACAGAGCCGUAUUAACAUCUUAAGAUGUUGUUUAAGACGGUCUUGAAAUAAGAUGCAAAUAUUAAUACCGGCCAAAGAUCUGUAUCGAGGGAAUUUAACCGGCGGCUGGCAUCGGAGACGAUUUCACGAAUGACAUGAUACUACGGAGAGAAUAAAGCAAUAUUUAUUAUUUAUCUAGUAGGUAAGUGUUAAAAGCAAUAUAUGUAUUUUAUUAACUUUUCAUAUUUUAAGCAACAUAAUAUGGAAAAAAGUCAAGAAUUAGAUACAAUUGAGCGAGACGCGCGCGUCGAUCUUAAGCCAUUGACGCUUAUUCGUUAACUUUAAACUUUUCUCCUGCAAAAACUACUCUGUCAAACGCAAUUUUACUAAAGGAAAUUCUUAAGGAUAUCAAGUGGCGUAAAAAUUUCGUCUCGGGAAGAUCGAUUUCUUUAUCAAGAUUAAUUUAGCGAAGGAUAAAAGUAACUAGGGAAUAUAAUACACGUACCACACAAAGCUUGAUAUACCGCGCGUUCGGACGACGCGUCACGAUCUGUUUUAAUUUGUUAAAUAUAUUCAUUGUUCUCGUCUCUCCCCCCGGUUAGAGCGCGGCGCGGUCUAGACGCCGCUUGCAUAAGUUUUCGCGAUGGCGUCGUCCCUUAUUCCCCAGGCCCAAUGAGGGAUUAUUAAAGAAAGGCGCUCUCCUACCAGCGGGCUACGUAAUAAAUCAAUUAGUUUAAAUAAGAAGGGGCCCCGGAGCAUGCGGUGGCGCGGCGACAUCGCGCCGUCCCGUGAAACAACGCCGAUUCCACGGCUCUCGCCAGCCCAUUAUUAUGGCCGGCACGAUGGGCGAACCGCCGCUGCCGUCGAUUGCGCCGAUGAAUUAAUUGCGCGCGAUCGAUUAAUUAAAACGCCGACGCGGCGUCAACGUGAUCCCAAUGCCGAGCGACGGAAAUAUUAUUCCGCUCGGCGCGGAAUUGUCUCGCACGCUGACGAUAAACCUUCAAGUCGACACGGUUGGCUGCCGAUCGCUCGCGCUAAACCGCGGCGGUUAACGUCCGCGAAAUGACCGUCCGUCCGCGCCUGUCGUACUUGGCGUUGUCAUCCCGAUGGACCGCCGCGCCGCGCCGCGCCGUGUGGCCGAUUCUAUGGCCGAUCAUCCCGUGUCGCUCUCGUCGCGUGAUACAGGAGAUCGAUGCCGAUUCGAUUCACAUCCUCCCCUCGUCUCUCCGCGAGAAUCCGCGCGGAAUAUAGAAGUGUUCGCAUACGUUCGAAUGAUCGCGUCGCCGUCCCGCGAAUGACAGCUGAGAAUUAUCCGUUGCAUAAUACACGCCGCAUAUAUCCCCGGCGUAGGAUGCCCGGGAUCCCGGAUGCGAGUUGUUGGUGAAUGAAUUAACAUACUAAUUACAUGGCCUGUCAAGCAUGCGUUGCGCGAUUUCAUGGCUUUGGUAACUUUGCAACAAUGAUGAAUCUUUCGUAACUAUGCUAAAUAGAUAGUGACGCGCUUUUGUCUUCCCCACCGCAGGUCCGUGCCAUCACUUUGCAUAGCUUAAUCUCGCUCUAGGAUAGAGAUAACGCUGAUAAAAAUAUCCAGUUCAAGGAAUCAGAUAAUUAAUCUCCUUGUACAAAGUUUAAUAGCAUUAGUGCUCCUUCAGGCAUAUAUCUCCUUCGGGUAUAAUUAAUAAAUAAUAAAUGUGCGUUUAAUCUGUGCGCAUCAAAAUCUCUUUGCCGUCAUCGUGUCUCAAUGGAGGCUGAGAGGAGAGCGCAAAAAUUGCAGACCGUUACGUGCCGAUCGGUUAAAUGGUAAUACCCAAGUGGGAUUAGAAUACAUUAAACUAGUAUUAUUAUUUUCUGGCGAAGUACCGAAAAAUGGUUUCAUAUUUUAAUCCCGCACUGGACUAGCACUAAAAUAACAAUAUUACGAUUUGCCCAAUAUGUGAAUCGGUAUUGAACAGUAGAGCUGCACUAGCAUACUGCCGGUAGAUUGCUUUCGGUAUUACAUAUACUGAAAUUCAGAAAAGAAAUAUGGCCAGCGUAUUGAACCGAUAUACUGUUGGUAGAUUUUUGAUCAUAUGUCUGCGCUAAAAUUGAAAGAUUGUUUCCUUCUAGCGCGAAGCAGAAUUCCGCCAUCAGAGGGACGCGCGUCAAAACUUUAUCUCUCCCGUAAGAAUACCACGCAGUAUAUUAUAAUAUAAGUAAUACCAAGCGCGUAAGAACUUCUCCCUCGUGUCAGAACGAGCUUCCAGAGUUGCAAUGUUGAAAAUCAGUAUUGAUUCACUGUGUCUUUCAAUAAUUUCGAUUAAGAAGGUAGUAUUCUCGUUGAUCGAGGAAUCGAUCGUGUUAUCACUGAAAGGCAUUGCGUAUAUCAUUGAUUGAUAUAGUAUAGCAUUGAAAUCUGAAACUAUUCAUUGUCAGCGAAUGAUUUAGAGAAUUAUUACUGUUAUGGUAUUAAGAAUCAGUAUUGAUAUUCGAGACCAUUGCAAUUUGGAUAAUCAGUAUCAAUUUGGUAUUGUUAUGAUAUCCUAAUCCCAUUCCAUAACAGUAUUGUAUUUCAAGUUUUGGUCUAUUGCUAUUAUCCCAAUAUUUCACCAGUGUUUGUGUCUAGUAGUUGGUUCUCAAUAUCAAAAGUUGAUAUUGGGACGAUAUCUUUUCCCUUCAAUUUCCACCAGCCACACAUCUUGAAUUUAAUUAAUUACGAUGAGUGAUAAUGUGAAAUGUAAGAACAAUCAGCGGUAAAAUGCGCGCAGGCUGCACGUUUGCUCGCCUGUUCAAAAAAUUUUAAACCCAACCGUAAUUUUCGCAGUAUGUUUCAUUGACAAAUUGAACACGAGAAUCGCGAGCGAACGGAGGCAGAUUAAUGCGAUCCGUGAGUCGCUCUCGGCUUGUUUAUCGCGCUAUCGAUUUUGCCCGGACGUUCGAUUGCUCAGAAAAAGCCCAGAAAAUACGCUUUUCAAUUAUCUCCGUGUAACGGAAGUUAUAUUUACAGACUGCUUAUGUCGUGGGUGCUCGCAAUUCCCUGUGUUCUUUUAAUUACAUACUCGUCGAAACAUUAAAUUAUCAAUUUUUUUGUCACUUGUAGACUUUAGUUGCAUUUUGAAUAACGCCUUUUUUUCUUUGUUUGCUCGUUAGUACAUUGCUAAAUAUUAA